GCGAUGUUUGUAACUGCCUGGUAGUGGGCCGUUCGGGGCCACGCGGAGUUUGUUACGGAGAGUAGUGGUGUCUGUUGUCGCGACUUGCCAGAAGAGUGGUGGGGCCACGUGAAGUUUGUUAUGGAGAGUGGAGUGGUGUCCGUUGUCGCGACUUGUCAGAGAGUGGUGGGGCCACGCGGAGUUUGUUAUAGAGAGUGGAGUGAUGUCCGUUGUCGCGACUUGUCAGAGAGUUUGGGUCGGACGGUUGAAGCUCGGUUGGGAUGUCUGGUGGAGCGAAAUAGCUCUCUGUCUCAGCACUUUGAGAGAAGCUCGGAUGCUUUCGAGGUUGCUGACGAGUCAACUGUUGUAGGGUGCCUUAGGUUCUGAUGCUGCAGAUCGAAGUCAUCUGCUGUAGAAGCUCGAGCGAAAAUUUUCUGUUGGAGAAGUCCGGCAGGAGUCCGAUCGCUAGAGAAGUCUGUCUGAAAUUUGUCUGAUGUAGAAGCUCGUCUGAAGACUGUCCGCUGGAGAGAUCCGGUUUCACGAGGAAUCCAGCAGAAGGUCGACCGAUAGUGGAGUUCGGAAGGCGUUGUGGAAGUUCGUCCGCUGGAGGAGUCUUGGGGACACUGUGGAAGGUUGACCGCUGGAGGAGUUUGGAAUUCAAUUCUAUUGUAGAAGUUCGGACGGAAUCCGAUUCUUAUAGGAGUCCGGAAGGAGGCCACUUACUGUAGAAGCUCGGACGAAGAUCGGUUGUCGUGGAAGCUCGGAUGGAGACUUCUUAUUGUAGAAGCUCGGAUGAAAUUCGGAAGGUGGUCGACCAUCGUAGAAAUUUGGAUGGAGUCUGGUUACUGUAGAAGUCCUGCAGUCGGAGAAGCUCGGCCAUUGACGAAGUCCGAAAGAAGUUCGGAGUAAAGUCAAUCGUGGUUGGAAGAAGUCUGGAAGAGAUUCGGAGAGUAGUCGAUCACUGUAGAAAAUCGGCUGAUAGUGAAGCUCAGAGAGCAUUUGGAGCAGUUCGGUAGAUGAAUGGAGGAGCUCAUUAUUGGAGAAGUCUGGAUGGCACGAUAGGAGUUCGUCCGUUGGAGGAAUCUGAAGGACACUGUGGAAGGUCGACUGCUGGGGGAGUCUGAAUGGUAUUAUGGAAGCUCGGACAGUCGAGGAGGUUCAGAAAGACGCCGCACAAGGUCGGAAGCCAGAAGAGCCCUGGGAGGGUCGGCCUCUUACGAACUUCGAUUGGGGUUAUUUUAUACCCAACACCAGUCCUCCUACUUUCGAGUUCGGAUUCUGAAUGAAGUACAGAGAAAUUUUUGCAGUCGAAGUUGCCUUCCUCGAUUUCUGUACUCGAUUGUUUCCAGAUAUUUUGGCGUUUGGCGCGCUGAUGCUAGAGUCUUUUCAAAUCGAGGUGAUCCGAAAAGAUUUUUUCGGAAUUUUCGUUGGAGCGUUGCUCUAGGUAAGGCGCAAUAAUGAUUCUGUCAGUCGUCAGCUGCCUUCAGUCGCCUGCCAUGAUGAGUGAGACACGUGGCGGUUGUAGAUCGGCUAGAGGAGAUCUGCAAUCAUUAUUGCGUCGGACCUAGUUGCCUAUUUAAACCCGCCCCCUCCUUUAGGGGUUUCACUUUGCCUG
rnacentral:lncRNA from 1 species